GGUAUGCGUUCCGAGCUCCGCGCCUCCACUGGUGGACGGUUAUUUUCCGGCCUGUCAUUUUUCGGUUGCUCGAUAUUCAUCAUCUGUCCACCACCCUCUCGCUGUGGCCGGCGUUCAUCCCGGCUGAGGUUCUUCUUCUGUGAAUUUCUAUCAUUGCUCUGCCUCUUCUGAGAGUUUUGGUCUUCCAACCUUUUGCGGUAGUCGUUGUCUGACCUGC
rnacentral:lncRNA from 1 species